rnacentral:piRNA from 1 species
CAAGAAAGAAUUCAGGGUGAUGCCACA